GUGCUUGCUUCGGCAGCAUAUAUACUAAAAUUGGAACGAUAGAGAGAAGAUUAGCAUGGCCCCUGCAUAAGGAUGACAUGCAAAUUCGUAAAGUGUUCCAUAUUUAA
rnacentral:snRNA from 1 species